CUAGUGGCGGACGGGUGAGUAACGCGUGGGUAACCUGCCUUAUACAGGGGGAUAACAACCAGAAAUGGUUGCUAAUACCGCAUAAGCGCACAGGACCGCAUGGUCCGGUGUGAAAAACUCCGGUGGUAUAAGAUGGACCCGCGUUGGAUUAGCUAGUUGGCAGGGUAACGGCCUACCAAGGCGACGAUCCAUAGCCGGCCUGAGAGGGUGAACGGCCACAUUGGGACUGAGACACGGCCCAGACUCCUACGGGAGGCAGCAUG
rnacentral:rRNA from 1 species